ensembl:misc_RNA Metazoa_SRP Metazoan signal recognition particle RNA
GCUGGGCGCAGUGGCGGGCGCCUGUAAUCCUAGCUACUCGGGAGGCUGAGGCAGGAGAAUUGCUUGAACCUGGGAGGCAGAGUUUGCAGUGAGCCGAGAUCACGCCACUGCACUCUAGCCUGGGUGACAGAGCAAGACUCUGCCUAAA